UAAACUUGAUAGCAUAUACAACUCGUAGUUCUUAGUAAUUAUGAAAGCAUAUGAUGAUCAGGUAUGUACACUCUUACUCAUCAUGGAUUCUUAAUACGACAAUCGAUCAAAAUAUAUAGAUCAAAGCAAAUCAAUAAAUUGUAUCAGAUUGUCAAAGGGACACAAUUUCCCUAUCACAAUAUAGAUGCAUACGUUAAUAAGAAACUAGAGUAUCAAAACAAGACAUCAAGUUUACCCAAGUAUAAUGACGAAUACAAACUUAUGCACAAAAUCAUAGGAAGUCAUUUUGCUCUAUAGAGAUGUCACUUAAGUAUCAAACUCACAGAUGUGAAGCACAAGAUCAUGACAUUAUUACCUUGUUAUGCACUUAGAGAUGUCAAUUACGGCUUAAGAUUGUUAGAAAUAUUGUGUUAGAAAACAUAUAUGAUAAAUAUAAUCAAGUAACCAAAUCAAGUAAGCAUGUAAUAUAAAUAUAAAUAAUAUAAAAGAAGAAGGCCUACAAGGGAGGCACGUGGACGUUGUCCUUAAGCCGUAGACGCCUCCCCACAUGCAGGUUAUGACGGUUGUACGUCUACUAAUUAACUCCAAGAUACAACCCUUGUAGUCACACAUAAUGUCUAAUCCGCUUUGCAUGACUAACGGUAGACGGGGUGUCAAGUGUUAAUCGAAUUGCCCAAACGAUAGGAAAUAAGAAUAUAAUGAAAAAGAUGAAGAUGAAGAGUAUGAGAGCAAGAUAUAUAUAAUUCCAUUACUCUUUGAUCGAGUAGAGUAUUUAUAGAACUCAUCAUAACCCUUAGAAAAGACAUGACUUUUCAAUUUGAAUAAAAAAUAUUUAAAAUGAAAAUAUGAGUUUUGAAUCUUAUUUUUAAUUAAAAAACCAACAUACCGGACUUUUCAAGUGUGUUUCACUAACCAGUGUGAAGACAUUUUAGCACAGAUUUUAGCUAAAUGAACAUAAAUUAAAGUGCAUCUCAUCUUCGAAGUGUAGCUUGCUUAAUGUUUUAAGCUAAUCCCUUGAGCUUUCCUUUAUUUAUAGGGUAAAAGUUAUAAAUGGUCCUCAUACUUUGGGGUCAUGGUUACGUUCGCCACCGUGGUUUAAAAAUAAUUAAUUUUGGUCCUCGUGUUUUAUGUAUCGACUAAUCAUAGUCCAAUGAUAACAUUUUAUCUAACACCUCUAGUGAGGCAGGUAU
rnacentral:lncRNA from 1 species